ensembl:lncRNA
AUAGAUGGCAGCCCACCAGGCUCCUCCUUCCCUGGGAUUCUCCAGUACAGGGGCAGAAACCUGGCCAGGGCAGGCCAUGGAGGCAGGAUUCAGUGGACGACUCAAACCCAGAGUCCUUCAUGAAUGGCUCUCUAGCCAUUCUCCACUCAGGAGCAUCUCCCAGGGAGAGUCCAGGUUAUAUUUAAGAAGACAGCAGAGGAAGAGGGAGAAGACUGCAAAUCAAGAGGCUUCUGAAAGAAAGGAGCUGCAAGGAAGACUGAGCACAGCCUCAGCAUCUUUUAGUUGUGGGGAUGAUAACAUACAGGGUAACCGUGGAAGCGCUGCAAGCCUUGUGUAGAAGAUGCUGGAGCCUUUGUCCCUCUGGGUCCCUGCCUGACUACAUGGAAUAGAAUUCUCUCCUGGCAGCCACUGGACUUCAUAGGUCUGCUUCUGCUGCUACUAAGUCGCUGCAGUCGUGUCCGACUCUGUGCGACCCCAUAGAAGGCAGCCCACCAGGCUCCACCAUCUCUGGGAUUCUCCAGGCAAGAAUAUUGGAGUGGGUUGCCAUUUCCUUCUCCAAUGCAUAAAGUGAAAAGUCAAAGUGAAGUCACUCAGUUGUGUCCAACUCUUAGUGACCUCAUGGACAGCAGCCUACCAGGCUCCUCCGUCUAUGGGAUUUUCCAGUAGUCAUGUAUGGAUGUGAGAGUGGGACUAUAAAGAAAGCUGAGCGCUGAAGAAUUAAUGCUUUUGAACUGUGGCACUGGAGAAGAUUCUUGAGAGUCCCUUGGUCUGCAAGGAGAUCAAACCAGUAAAUCCUAAAGGAAAUCAGCCCUGAAUAUUCAUUGGAAGGACUGAUGCUCAAGCUGAAACUCCAAUACUUUGGCCACCUGAUGUGAAGAACUGACUCAUUUGAAAAGACCCAGAUGCUGGGAAAGAUUGAAGGUGGGAGGAGAAGGGGAUGACAGAGGAUGAGAUGGUUGGAUGGCAUCACCGACUCAAUGGACAUGAGUCUGAGUAAGCUCUGGGAGUUGCUGAUGGACAGGGAGGCCUGGUGUGCUGCAGUACACGGGGUUGCAAAAAUUUGGAUACGACUGAGCGACUGAACUGAACUGAGUUUGGUAACAAAUAUGAGAAUUAUAUAAUUUAAAUCUAAACUCUUGGUAUUUCUUUCUUUCUUUGGCAGUUUCAAAAGAGCUGUACCUUCUGUUAACUAUACAAAUCCUUUUUGAGAAUUACUAAAUCGAUAAUGUUCACAAGUUAUCCAAUUUCUCAUUACUCUUAGUUGUCAGUAUAAGAAAUCCCAUUUGAUUUAUCAUGUUAUAAUAUCUGAAACUCUGAUAGUUCAGUUCUGACAAAUUUUUAUUUUAUUUAAAAAUAUUGGAAUAAAGUAAAAUUU